CAGGCCUAACACAUGCAAGUCGAACGAUGUCUUUCGAGGCAUAGUGGCGCACGGGUGCGUAACGCGUGGGAAUCUGCCCUUGGGUUCGGAAUAACCGUUGGAAACGACGGCUAAUACCGGAUGAUGUCGAUAAGACCAAAGAUUUAUCGCCUGAGGAUGAGCCCGCGUAGGAUUAGCUAGUUGGUGUGGUAAGAGCGCACCAAGGCGACGAUCCUUAGCUGGUCUGAGAGGAUGAUCAGCCACACUGGGACUGAGACACGGCCCAGACUCCUACGGGAGGCAGCAGUGGGGAAUAUUGGACAAUGGGCGCAAGCCUGAUCCAGCAAUGCCGCGUGAGUGAUGAAGGCCUUAGGGUUGUAAAGCUCUUUUACCCGGGAUGAUAAUGACAGUACCGGGAGAAUAAGCUCCGGCUAACUCCGUGCCAGCAGCCGCGGUAAU
rnacentral:rRNA from 1 species